rnacentral:lncRNA from 1 species
UCUCCAAUGACCAAAACACACACACAUACAGUACACAACACACGUGUCUCUCUACCAAUGACCAAAACACACACGCAUAGCAGUACACACACACGUUCUCUCUACCAAUGACCAAAACACACACGCAUACAGUACACACACACACGUUCUCUCUACCAAAUGACCAAAACACACCGCAUACAGUUACACACAACACCCUUCUCUCUACCAAUGACCAAAACACACACGCAAACAGUAACACACCACAGUUCUCUCUACCAAUGACCAAACACACACGCAUACAGUACACACACACACGUUCUCCUACCAAUGACCAAAAACACAAACGCUCAGAUACACACACACACGUCUUCUCUACCAAUGACCAAACACACACAGCAAUACAGUACACACCACACUUCUCUCUCCAAUGACCAAAACACAACACACACUACAGUCACACACACGGUCGCUUUACAAUGACCAAAACACAACAACCAUACAGUACACACACACGUUCUCUCUACCAAUGACCAAAACACACACCACAUACAGUACACAACACACGUUCUCUCUACCAAUGACCAAAACAACACACGCAUACAGUACACACACACGUUCUCUCCUACCAAUGACCAAAACACACACACGCAACAGUACAACACACACACGUUCUCUCUACCAAUGACCAAAACACACACGCAUACAGUACACACACAUCUUCUCUCUACGCAAUGACCAAAACACACACGCAUACAGUACACACACACACGUUCUCUCUACACAUGACCAAAACACAACACGCAUACGUACACACACAACGUCUCUCUACCAAUGACCAAAACACACACACGCAUACAAGUACACAC